rnacentral:rRNA from 1 species
GGGACCCGCACAAGCGGUGGAUGAUGUGGAUUAAUUCGAUGCAACGCGAAAACCUUACCUACCCUUGACAUGUCCGGAAUCCCGAAGAGUAUUUGGGAGUGCUCGCAAGAGAGCCGGAACACAGGUGCUGCAUGGCUGUCGUCAGCUCGUGUCGUGAGAUGUUGGGUUAAGUCCCGCAACGAGCGCAACCCUUGGUCAUUAGUUGCCAUCAUUUGGUUGGGCACUCUAAUGAGACUGCCGGUGACAAACCGGAGGAAGGUGGGGAUGACGUCAAGUCCUCAUGGCCCUUAUGGGUAGGGCUUCACACGUGCUACAAUGGCCGGUACAAAGGGGCGCAAGACCGCGAGGUGGAGCAAAUCCCAAAAACCGGUCUCAGUUCGGAUUGGAGUCUGCAACUCGACUCCAUGAAGUUGGAAUCGCUAGUAAUCGCGUAUCAGCAUGACGCGGUGAAUACGUUCCCGGGCCUU